CCCUUNNNNNNNNCCUGUUACNAUUGCCCUUGAGUUGAUCAUGGCUCGAACGAACGCUGGCGGCGCGCUUAACACAUGCAAGUCGAACGAGAAGCUGUAGCAAUACAGUUGUAAAGUGGCAAACGGGUGAGUAAUGCGUGGGUAAUCUACCCUAGGGUGGGGAAUAACUUCCCGAAAGGGGAGCUAAUGCCGACAUGUGCACCACUCUCGCAAGGGAGUAUUGGAAAGCCGUACCGAGGGUGCGGCGCCCAAGGAUGAGCUCACGUCCUAUCAGCUUGUUGGCGGGGUAACGGCCCACCAAGGCUGCGACGGGUAGCUGGUCUGAGAGGACGACCAGCCACACUGGCACUGCGACACGGGCCAGACUCCUACGGGAGGCAGCAGUGAGGAAUAUUGCGCAAUGGACGAAAGUCUGACGCAGCGACGCCGCGUGGGGGAUGAAGGCCUUCGGGUUGUAAACCCCUUUCAGGAGGGAAGAUGGCGCGGGUAACCGCGCGGACGGUACCUCCAGAAGCAGCCACGGCUAACUCUGUGCUAGCAGCCGCGGUAAGACAGAGGUGGCAAGCGUUGUUCGGAUUUACUGGGCGUAAAGCGUGCGUAGGUGGUGAGGUAAGACCUGUGGGAAAGACCUGNGCUUAACCCAGGAAGGUCGCAGGUGACUGCUUUGCUGGAGGACGGGAGAGGAGAGCGGAAUUCCCGGUGUAGCGGU
rnacentral:rRNA from 1 species